GGCGUUGGAUAUUUGAAGGGGGCUGCUCCUAGUACGAGAGGACCGGAGUGGACGAACCUCUGGUGUACCGGUUGUGACGCCAGUCGCAUCGCCGGGUAGCUAUGUUCGGAAGAGAUAACCGCUGAAAGCAUCUAAGCGGGAAACUCGCCUUAAGAUGAGAUAUCCCUGGAGGCUUGACCUCCUUGAAGGGUCGUUCGAGACCAGGACGUUGAUAGGUCGGGUGUGUAAGCGCAGUAAUGCGUUCAGCUAACCGAUACUAAUUGCCCGUAAGGCUUGAUCCUAUAACA
rnacentral:rRNA from 1 species